GGACUUGCGCAAGCAUGCGCAAGUUGUAAAGCGAAGACGACGAAACGGUCAGUACGCAUUGUGUAUAUUGUAUCGUUUCUGAACUCCAGCGAAUUCUUGUCCCAUCCACCGAUUUUCUGCCAUUGUUCUUCGAUCUCUUCUCACGAUGGCGAAUGAGACGUGUUCGUCUGGCGAAGUCAUGACUGAAGCUGCGAAAACAGCAAAUCAGCUCUACAAGAUCCACAACCAGGAUGACUUCAGCCGGAUCACCAAGGGAAUUAAAGUUGCACGGUGCAUGCAGUCACCGUCGACUUACGUACCUGAUAGCGAGCAGAUAAUAUGCGAGCUGGUGGUAUCCGAUUCUUUGUGUUGUUCCUAUUGUAAUACUGAAUUUGAGGACAAGGUGCAACAGAGACUCCACUAUAAGCUGGAUUGGCAUCGUUACAAUCUAAAACAACAUCUGAAUGGUUUGAAGUCAAUUAGUGAGGACAAUUUCAAUAAAUUAGCCGGCGAAGGCGACAUGUCUAGCCUGUCUGGUAGCGAGGUAGAGUCCGAGAACGAUGACGAUGCUGGUACUUCGGAGACUGGGGUUUCAUCUAAUGAACAAACCAAGAACGAGUCUUCAAGUAAGACUGGACUUGGCAGGUCCAGAAAGACAUCAGAAAGACGCGGGAAAACAAUCGAGUCAGACAUUUCGGAUACGGAGUACAACGAGGAAAUGACCAAGGAGCGGAAGUUGCAGGUUGUCGCAAGUCGUCACACCAAGGUGUUUUUCGAGAAUGAUGAUGGCAAUAUAUUUAGUAUCUACCGGUGUUUACUGCAUCAUAAAAAGGACAUUCCCGAAAAAGACACUGAGAUGAUCGCUCAGGCACUGGACAGCGGCAGAAAGUCCAAAUGGACGGUCAUCAUGGUCGGUGGUGGACACUUCGCCGCGGCAGUAUUUCAGGAUGGUGAGCCUAUCGUGCACAAGACCUUUCAUUCUUAUACCGUGCGAGCAAAGCAAGGCUUCGCUCAAAAUUCUCGUACAAAUGGUAAUCACGCGAAAAGCGCUGGUGCCAGUUUGCGAAGAUAUAACGAAGCAUCGCUUAUUCAGCAUGUACAAGAGAUAUUGGACUCAUGGUCGAUGCACAUCAACAAUUCAGCAGCUAUUUUAUACCGAGCGGUCGGUCCACACAAUCGUACGGUGCUCUUCGGUGGCAAGAAUCCACCUUUAGAUAAGAACGAUUUUAGAAUAAGACCACUGCCAUUCCCUACUCGAAGAGCAACGUUUAGAGAAGUCAAGAGGGUAUAUGAUAUUUUGAGCACCAUGGAGAUUUAUGGCUCUGCGGCGAAUUUCACGGACUGUUUCCCCAACUCUCCGCGACAGCCCGUACGGAAGAAGGUCUCGAAACCGGAGAUCAUGAGCGAGAUACCUGAAGGAGAAGUUGCUACGGAGUACAAUUCUAAUGCCGGUAAUCUUAGUAGUCCGCAGGAUAACGUUAAGACACCUGCGCAAUCUACUCCAGAGAAGCAACACCGGAAUUCUCGUCCGCACAUAGAUAGGGCGAAACCGAGGAAAAGUCCGAAUCGACCACUGCCAGAUAUAAUUGUUAAAUUAGCUCAAUCGUCCUCUGAAUCCGAAAUGGAUCCAAAUUUUCCAAUAGACGUUCUUUUAACUGAAGAAAAUUUUGAGGUGUCAUUUAGGGCGAAUUUACAACCGUUUCAAGAUACUGUGCCGAGAUACAUGAAAAACAAGAAAGCUCAUAGACAGAAAAAGAAAGUCAAGAAAGACAAUCAGAUGAACAAUGAAGUGCUAUCGGACGCUAAGAUUAAAUUAUGGAUUGCCUGUAAGCGGGGCGAUAAUGAUCUGUUAUCGUCGGUUAUUGAUACCUUGUUAGCCAAAAUUAAGGAGUGCGAAGAGGAACAAAACAAGAAAGACGUCAUAGAUAGUUGCGUUAUGUCUAACAAUAUUCUCGUGAGCACAAAUGACGUGACGAAAUUGGUUAAUGAUACCAAUGAGGAUGGCAAUACAAUGCUGCAUUUGGCGGCACUUGGUGGACAUUGCGAGCAAGUAUGGUUGCUGCUAAAAAUCGGAUCUGACCCUUGCAAUAAGAAUAAAAAACUGCAGACACCAUAUGCUGCUGCAAACGAUAAAAAAACUAGAAAUACGUUUAGAAGAUUUAUGGAAGCUAACCCGGACAAGUUCAAUUAUCAAAAAUCUCAAAUACCUGGGCCGCUCUCUGAUGAGAUAGAACAAGCAGAAACGGAAAAGAAAAGACAGCAGCGUAAGUUGAAACGCUUUAAGGAGAAAGUUAAAAGGAAGGAAUUCGAAUUAAAGAAGCAGGAGGAAAACGAGAAGCAAAAGUUCCUUAAUCUCAGCGAUAAAGAAAAGAGAGCUUUGAUCGUACAGAAUCGGAUGUUGAGUGAAGGAUACACUGUGAUGUCGCGAUGCUUCCAAUGCGCCAUCGAUAUGACUGAUAAGAAAAUUAUUAAGAACGCGAGCAUUUCUUGAUUUUAAUAAACUCAAAGAAACUGGACUGUAAGAAAAUUAUGACAAAGAAUUUUGAUAUGUAAAUAGCGAUGUAAAGAGAUGAAUGAUAAGAUCGAAGGAUUUAAAGAAUUUCUUUCGGGCUACAAUGGAUUAUAUAUUUUGAUCUAUAUAUAAUCGGAUGUACACAGAGGGCACGUUUUUUACAAGUACGACGUAAUCCCAGAGAUUCGACGGUUUUUGCAAGCGAAAAAUAUCUCCGAUGAGAAAUGAAAAGUACGUUGAAGAACAUCAAAUGAUUUCACAGAUUCAACUGUAACGAUCCAACAGUCGACAUCCAGCAGUAUAUUAUAACUCUCCAUUGAUGUAUGUACAAGGUAACUGUCUUUACACUUAGUCCCUACAAGCUUGAUAAAAAUAGUGCACAAAAUACACAUUUUGUGCAGAACGAUCGAACGAUCUUACGCGAUUGUUUGAAAAUUCGAUUGGAACGGACGUGGAUCGAAAACCCGAAAUCUAACUUUGACGAGGAAUGAGAAGAAAAUUUUUCGACAUCGCGAGUCUCUUCGAUCGCCCUAUAUAUAUCUUUCCUGGCUUCUCUUUUGAACAUUCGAGAUAUAUACAAAGCAAAAAUUAUUUCGGAAUCGUGAAAGUUGUGAAGCAUAUAUCUGAGUAUCAUUUAGGCUGAACGCAUGCGGAGUAUCGCGUGUAUUGUGGUCCUCUGUUCGUGCAAAAAUAGGUGUUCUGCAUUCGGUUUUUUACUUCUGGUUCCGAUCCCGUCAGAUGAAACGUCGAGCAGCUCAUUUAAGUACAAAAUAUCUUUGUUCGAGAUCAUCUUUUAUGUUUUCUUUGCAUCAAUCUUCCUUUCUCGUGUCUGCCUUGAUCGCGGUAUACGGUCUGACUUAUACUACUCUUGUUUCACUGAUUUGAAAUGAUAUGCAGUGUACAUCUCUUUUCAGUGUCUAACAUAGCAGUGUAAAUUUAAACUGGAAAAUUUUCGUCGUACCAAAAUUUUGCAACGAUAAUAUUUUGAUUCAA
rnacentral:misc_RNA from 1 species